rnacentral:rRNA from 1 species
UACGUAGGGCGCAAGCGUUGUCCGGAAUUAUUGGGCGUAAAGAGCUCGUAGGCGGUUUGUCGCGUCUGCUGUGAAAACCUAAGGCUCAACCUUGGGCUUGCAGUGGGUACGGGCAGACUAGAGUGCGGUAGGGGUGACUGGAAUUCCUGGUGUAGCGGUGGAAUGCGCAGAUAUCAGGAGGAACACCGAUGGCGAAGGCAGGUCACUGGGCCGGCAACUGACGCUG